rnacentral:rRNA from 1 species
CCUACGGGGGGCAGCAGUGGGGAAUAUUGGACAAUGGGGGGAACCCUGAUCCAGCCAUGCCGCGUGUGUGAAGAAGGCCCUCGGGUUGUAAAGCACUUUCAGUGAGGAAGAACGCCUGGUGGUUAAUACCCAUCAGGAAAGACAUCACUCACAGAAGAAGCACCGGCUAACUCCGUGCCAGCAGCCGCGGUAAUACGGAGGGUGCGAGCGUUAAUCGGAAUUACUGGGCGUAAAGCGCGCGUAGGUGGCUGGAUAAGCCGGUUGUGAAAGCCCCGGGCUCAACCUGGGAACGGCAUCCGGAACUGUCAAGCUAGAGUGCAGGAGAGGAAGGUAGAAUUCCCGGUGUAGCGGUGAAAUGCGUAGAGAUCGGGAGGAAUACCAGUGGCGAAGGCGGCCUUCUGGACUGACACUGACACUGAGGUGCGAAAGCGUGGGUAGCAAACAGGAUUAGAUACCCGUGUAGUC